UGUUCGUUCGGCUCGCGUUAUCU
rnacentral:miRNA from 1 species